AAAACAACGAAAAAGAGAUAUACAACCUGGAAUAUAUUGGAUAACUUCGAAAUAUAAGUGCAUUUUAGAGAAAAUUGCAACAAUUAUCCCAUAUGUAUCUCAAACUAAAAAAGAAAAAUAUUUGAUUUUACCGCGUAUUCCCGCUGAAUGGGUAUUUCCUCAUUGGAAAAAUCCUGCAAUCAAGGCCGCAUUUACUAUUCAAUUUAAUCAUACUUACAAUGAAAUAGUUUUAUCACAUACGCAACAGCAGUAUUUCCAGAAUACACCGAUGUACCAGCGAAUUCCGAUUAUUAUAUACAUACUUCCUUGUUGCGUCAUACACGUCUUACUAUUCAAAUUAGAUUGCAAGUGAAAAACGACAUUUCAUACGCAAUAUUACUUAUAACAAAUUUUCUGACAUCUAUCGACGACAAGAAAGAGAAUAUCACAUCAGUCUCAUACGUGCAGUAUUUAGUACUUCCAAUAAACUCUAACAAUUACGAAACCAUAGUAACUUCUGGACUUGUAUUCUUCAGAGACGCUAAUAUUGCAUACAAUAGAGAAAUAGAUUCAAUUAUAAAGAAAACAAAAGUAACAUGCUUGGUUGUACGCGGUGUGCUACAAGAAAUGUUCAGUGAAUGGUUAGUUACAUUGAAACAAUCUGAUUCUUGGUUCCUUGAAGGUUUUUUAACAUUAUACGGAGUUUAUGUAGUGGAUCAAAUUUACGAUGAAACUUUACUGAAAUCGAUUGCGAUCCAGACACGACGAGUAGGUUUUGAAUAUAC